AAAUCAUGUUGAGGACAAUUUCUUAAAAUACCUUUAUAUCUUUCCCAAGCCACAUAUAAGGACUAGCCAUCGUCUUGUUGAAAAUUAGCAAUCUCUUUCUUGAGUUU